rnacentral:rRNA from 1 species
UCGAGAAUCUUCCACAAUGGACGAAAGUCUGAUGGAGCGACGCCGCGUGAUUGAUGAAGUCCCUUUGGGACGUAAAGAUCUUUUAUAAGGGAAGAAGUUUAUUGACUGUACCUUAUGAAUAAGAGGUUCCUAAUCUCGUGCCAGCAGGAGCGGUAAUACGAGAGCCUCGAGCGUUAUCCGGAAUUAUUGGGCGUAAAGGGUGCGUAGGUUGUUUUAUUAGUCUUUUGUUAAAAUCUCGGGCUUAACCUGAGAAUCGCGAAAGAAACGGUAAAACUUGAAAGUGUGAGAGGCGUACGGAACUUAUGGUGUAGGGGUGAAAUCCGUUGAUAUCAUAGGGAACACCAAAUGCGAAGGCAGUACGCUGGCGCAUAUUUGACACUGAAGCACGAAAGCGUGGGUAGCGAAUG